rnacentral:rRNA from 1 species
GGGUGAGUAACACGUGGGUAACCUGCCUGUAAGACUGGGAUAACUCCGGGAAACCGGGGCUAAUACCGGAUAACUCAGUUCCUCGCAUGAGGAACGGUUGAAAGGUGGCUUUUAGCUACCACUUACAGAUGGACCCGCGGCGCAUUAGCCAGUUGGUGAGGUAACGGCUCACCAAGGCGACGAUGCGUAGCCGACCUGAGAGGGUGAUCGGCCACACUGGGACUGAGACACGGCCCAGACUCCUACGGGAGGCAGCAGUAGGGAAUCUUCCGCAAUGGACGAAAGUCUGACGGAGCAACGCCGCGUGAGUGAAGAAGGUUUUCGGAUCGUAAAACUCUGUUGUUAGGGAAGAACAAGUGCCGUUCAAAUAGGGCGGCACCUUGACGGUACCUAACCAGAAAGCCACGGCUAACUACG